CCGUAGCCCAAGAGAUCGGGAUAACACCUGGAAACAGAUGCUAAUACCGGAUAACAACAGAUGAUGCCUAUCAACUGUUUAAAAGAUGGUUCUGCUAUCACUCCUGGAUGGACCUGCGGUGCAUUAGCUAGUUGGUAGGGUAACGGCCUACCAAGGCGAUGAUGCAUAGCCGAGUUGAGAGACUGAUCGGCCACAUUGGGACUGAGACACGGCCCAAACUCCUACGGGAGCAGCAGCG
rnacentral:rRNA from 1 species